AUUGAACGCUGGCGGCAGGCUUAACACAUGCAAGUCGAGCGAGCGGCGGACGGGUGAGUAAUGUCUGGGAAACUGCCUGCUGGAGGGGGAUAACUACUGGAAACGGUAGCUAAUACCGCAUACCAUCAGCCGGUCCCAUAUGGGAUUAGCUAGUAGGUGGGGUAAUGGCUCACCGGGGUGACGAUGCCUAGCUGGUCGGAGAGGAUGACCAGCAACACUGGAACUGGGACGGGGUCCAGACGCCUACGAGAGGCAGCAGUGGGGAAUAUUGCACAAUGGGCGCAAGCCGGAUGCAGCCAUGCCGCGUGUGUGAAGAAGGCCUUCGGGUUGUAAAGCACGUUCAGCGAGGAGGCGUUACUCGCAGAAGAAGCACCGGCUAACUCCGUGCCAGCCGCCGCGGUAAUAC
rnacentral:rRNA from 1 species